AGAGUUUGAUCCUGGCUCAGGACGAACGCUGGCGGCGUGCUUAACACAUGCAAGUCGAGCGAUGAAGUUUCUUCGGAAAUGGAUUAGCGGCGAACGGGUGAGGAACACGUGAAGAAUCUGCCCUCCACUUUGGGAUAACACCGGGAAACCGGUGCUAAUACUGAAUAUUGAAACAUAAGUGGCAUCACUGAGUUUUGAAAGAAUUUCGGUGGAGGAUGACUUCGCGGCCUAUCAGCUAGUUGGUGAGGUAAUGGCUCACCAAGGCAACGACGGGUAGCCGGCCUGAGAGGGCGACCGGCCACACUGGGACUGAGACACGGCCCAGACUCCUACGGGAGGCAGCAGUGGGGAAUAUUGGGCAAUGGAGGAAACUCUGACCCAGCGACGCCGCGUGCGGGAUGAAGGCCUUCGGGUUGUAAACCGCUUUCAGUAGGGAAGAAGCGAAAGUGACGGUACCUACAAAAGAAGCACCGGCUAACUAUGUGCCAGCAGCCGCGGUAAUACAUAGGGUGCAAGCGUUGUCCGGAAUUAUUGGGCGUAAAGAGCUCGUAGGUCGUUUGUUACGUCGGAUGUGAAAACCUGAGGCUCAACCUCAGGCCUGCAUUCGAUACGGGCAAACUAGAGUUUGGUAGGGGAGACUGGAAUUCCUGGUGUAGCGGUGGAAUGCGCAGAUAUCAGGAGGAACACCAAUGGCGAAGGCAGGUCUCUGGGCCAAUACUGACACUGAGGAGCGAAAGUCUGGGGAGCGAACAGGAUUAGAUACCCUGGUAGUCCAGACCGUAAACGGUGGGCACUAGUUGUGGGAACCUUCCACGGUUUCUGCGACGCAGCUAACGCAUUAAGUGCCCCGCCUGGGGAGUACGAUCGCAAGAUUAAAACUCAAAGGAAUUGACGGGGCCCCGCACAAGCAGCGGAGCAUGCGGCUCAAUUCGACGCAACGCGAAGAACCUUACCAAGGCUUGACAUAUAGAGAAAAGUGGCAGAGA
rnacentral:rRNA from 1 species